rnacentral:rRNA from 1 species
AUUGAACGCUGGCGGCAUGCCUUACACAUGCAAGUCGAACGGCAGCACGGGGGCAACCCUGGUGGCGAGUGGCGAACGGGUGAGUAAUACAUCGGGACGUGCCCCGUAGUGGGGGACAACCAGUCGAAAGACUGGCUAAUACCGCAUACGCUCCACGGAGGAAAGCAGGGGAUCGCAAGACCUUGCACUAUGGGAGCGGCCGAUGCCCGAUUAGCUAGNGGUGAGGUAAAGGCUCACCAAGGCAACGAUCGUAGCUGGUCUGAGAGGACGACCAGCCACACUGGGACUGAGACACGGCCCA